UACAGAGGGGGCAAGCGUUAUUCGGAAUUAUUGGGCGUAAAGGGCGCGUAGGCGGCCUUGCAAGUGACGGGUGAAAUCCCUCGGCUUAACCGAGGAACUGCCUGUCAGACUGCAUGGCUUGAGACCGGGAGAGGUGAGUGGAAUUCCCAGUGUAGCGGUGAAAUGCGUAGAUAUUGGGAGGAACACCAGCGGCGAAGGCGGCUCACUGGACCGGUACUGACGCUGUGGCGCGAAAGCGUGGGGAGCAAACAAG
rnacentral:rRNA from 1 species